rnacentral:rRNA from 1 species
ACAGCAGUAGCCGCGGGAAUACGGAGGGUGCAAGCGUUAAUCGGAAUUACUGGGCGUAAAGCGCACGCAGGCGGUCUGACAAGUCAGAUGUGAAAUCCCCGGGCUUAACCUGGGAACUGCAUUUGAAACUGUCAGGCUGGAGUCUUGUAGAGGGGGGUAGAAUUCCAGGUGUAGCGGUGAAAUGCGUAGAGAUCUGGAGGAAUACCGGUGGCGAAGGCGGCCCCCUGGACAAAGACUGACGCUCAGGUGCGAAAGCGUGGGGAGCAAACAGGAUUAGAUACCCCAGUAGUCCCUGUCUCUUAUAC